rnacentral:sRNA from 1 species
AGCUGAUGCAGUCUGGUGGAUCAUCUUCCUCCCAGUCCACCGCAGCAGCUGUUCCCCUCUGGAGGUUUGCAAAAACCUUCAACCUUAGAAGGACCCAGGUUUUCUUGCGGUCCUCUUUU